UACGAAGGGGGCUAGCGUUGCUCGGAAUCACUGGGCGUAAAGGGCGCGUAGGCGGCGUUUUAAGUCGGGGGUGAAAGCCUGUGGCUCAACCACAGAAUGGCCUUCGAUACUGGGACGCUUGAGUAUGGUAGAGGUUGGUGGAACUGCGAGUGUAGAGGUGAAAUUCGUAGAUAUUCGCAAGAACACCAGUGGCGAAGGCGGCCAACUGGUCCGGUACUGACGCUGAGGUGCGAAAGCCAGGGGAGCAAACGGG
rnacentral:rRNA from 1 species